rnacentral:rRNA from 1 species
GGGAUUACCUCAGUAACGGCGAGUGAAGCGGUAACAGCUCAAAUUUGAAAUCUGGGUCUAUCAGGCCCCGAGUUGUAAUUUGUAGAAGAUGCUUUGGGUGCGGCCCCGGUCUAAGUUCCUUGGAACAGGACGUCAUAGAGGGUGAGGAUCCCGUAUGUGAUCGGUGGCCUGCGCCCGUGUAAAGCUCUUUCGACGAGUCGGGUUGUUUGGGAAUGCAGCUCUAAAUGGGUGGUAAAUUUCAUCUAAAGCUAAAUAUUGGCCAGAGACCGAUAGCGCACAAGUAGAGUGAUCGAAAGAUGAAAAGCACUUUGGAAAGAGAGUUAAACAGUACGUGAAAUUGUUGAAAGGGAAGCGCUUGCACCCAGACUUGCGCGGGGUUGAUCAUCCGGGGUUCUCCCCGGUGCACUCGGCCUCGCUCAGGCCAGCAUCGGUUUCGGCGGUUGGAUAAAGGCCUUGGGAAUGUGGCUCCUCUCGGGGAGCGUUAUAGCCCUCGGUGCAAUGCAGCCUACCGGGACCGAGGACCGCGCUUCGGCUAGGAUGCUGGCGUAAUGGUUGUAAGCGACCCGUCUUGAAACACGGACCAAGGAGUCUAACAUCUAUGCGAGUGUUUGGGUGUCAAACCCAUCCGCGUAAUGAAAGUGAACGGAGGUGAGAACCCUUAAGGGUGCAUCAUCGACCGAUCCUGAUGUCUUCGGAUGGAUUUGAGUAAGAGCAUAGCUGUUGGGACCCGAAAGAUGGUGAACUAUGCCUAAAUAGGGUGAAGCCAGAGGAAACUCUGGUGGAGGCUCGCAGCGGUUCUGACGUGCAAAUCGAUCGUCAAAUUUGGGUAUAGGGGCGAAAGACUAAUCGAACCAUGAGUAGUUGCUAGGUGGUUAAGAGGCGGCCGUAGUGGGCCGCCUAGUCCUGGGUCCAGGGCGACAUUGUCAAAUUGUUCGGGGACGUCCUGUCAAUGCUGAGCUACCGCAGCCUGCCGAAAGGCAGGUGCGCACCAGGCGUAACGGCCUCGGGGAUGGUAACAACGCUCUCGCUAGGGAUAAUCCGCAGCCAAGCCCUCCCGAGACACCGUGGUGUCUCUACGGGUGCAGUUCACAGACUAGAUGGCAAUGGGUGUUACGGGCGUAGCGCUUAAGAUAUAGUCGAGCCGCUAAGAGAUUAGCCGGGUGGAUGAACGGCGUCGGGGGGACCACCCUAUGCUAUGGCAUAGGUCCUCGGCGCCUAGAGCCACCCGGGGGCGAGACCCGUGGGCCUUGGGCCCAGGUCGAGCCC